rfam:Streptomyces sp. CB02056 scaffold26, whole genome shotgun sequence.
GCCGGUCCUCGGUAGUGGCCGUCGGAACCCCCGCAGACCGAGCGGGGCACUCCGGAGGCUUCGAUCGAAGACCGGC